UUAUUGAGGCCGGAAAUGGUUCCCGACACACCCGAAUAUGGGUACCUGAGAUGCAGGAUACACUGCACUGCCAAUA
rnacentral:ncRNA from 1 species